GUUGCCCCUACAUGCACUGCAGGUGUGGCUGCUGUGUCACAUGUGCAUCAAUAUGUGGCAAAGAGGAGAGAGACUAUAUCUAUGCUUAAUGUUGUUACCUCUGAACAUAUAAGCAGUUAGUAGCCUAACAUU